UCAGGAGAGUGGUUCUUUGUACCUAGUAAGAUGACAGCAAUGGGAUUGUCACACUGACAUCCAUAAAAGCACUAGGAUUUGUAGAGCUUAAUUUAUCAGCUAUGUCGAAUAUUUAUGGAUAGUGUUUGAGUGAGAGGAGGGGCCACACAGAACAUGACUUGGACAUGAACAUGAAGUUGUAUUCUUAUUUCCUCUCCAAGAGUCAAGCUCAGUUUCUAUGGGAGCAGCCAGCCAGAGGAGCCUUGAAGUCGAAGGAAAGGAGGAAGCAAAGCCAGGUGUGCAAUGGAGGAACAUGAUGGGCCCCAAGGUUGGGCUGAGAGUGGACUGAUCCUGAAAUAACUGAACAACUAUCUGAUGGAUUGCCAAAGGAAAAAAAGAAUUCCUUGCCUCAACAAGAUACGCCCAACCAACACUGAUGAUACCUGAGCUACCGGCACCACUGCUUGAGUUUCAAAAACUGGGCUAACCUCAAAGUAGUGGGUGUCUUGCCACACAACACAACAUGGAGAGAGGGUCUGAUCAGCUUUCAAACAGGGAACUCUGCUUCACCACAGGGUUGGUGCUGCCAUCUUAGAGCAGGGGCAAACAUUGGAACUUGACAGUGUGGGCGAAUGAACCUGCAAAUGAUACCUACAGGGGUUUGGACUGGAAUAUUGUCAAUCAGAGUGAAUGAGAAGGAGAGAAGCUAUGGGGUGUUGUGUAUGUGCUUGUGCAGAACACAUCUCCAUGCCUGUGCUAGUGUGUCUUUUGAUAUAUUAUGCAUAGGGUGUAUACUGCCCAUGUCUCCGUCUCUGCACUUGUGCAUGUUGAUCCAUGCAAUAAACAUAAGGUGUAUUCAUCCGUCAGGUAUAAAAUAUGAAGUAUCUAAUUGAGGAGCCCAACAGGUAAAGGAGAGGAGAGGCAUAGCUCCAGCAUCCUGACCUGAAAUGAUCUGUUGUCUCCUGUUGGGGUUUCAUUUCAUGGUUAAAUGUGAAGUUAAUGGCUGGUCUUACAUGACAGUGGCUUCAGUGUCUUUGACUUAAGCCUCAAUUUGUCCCUGUGGCUCUAAAAGAAUACAGCCUUCUCUUAACAGCAGAACAACAACGGCGUGCUUAUAUAAAGGUUUGUUUUAGUACACUCACUUCACAAUAAAAAAAAUGACUGACCUGCUUUAAACUCAUA